GGGAAGGAAAUGCAUAACACUAGCCAAUAAAGAUGCAGAACACUACCAGAGCAAAGGUUAACACAUGGCCAUCAUUCUCAUGAGACUAGCCAAACAAAGAGAGGAAAUGCGGAGAGAAAAAGACACCAGAAAAGGAGCUAGAGGUUGGAGAUAUGACUAGUAUGGUGUGCUGGGUGGUGGAGAGGGAUAGAGUCGAUAGACAGGGAGGAAACCUUUGUCAAGUUCACUCAAUCAUUCAUGGCCUAAGGUCAUGGAAUUGAAAUAGAUGUAUAAGAAAAAUUAAAGAAGAGAAGAGAGAAAAAGAGUGUGGCUUGGCCUGGCUUGC
rnacentral:lncRNA from 1 species